AGAUAAUUAGAUCUGGUUGUUAUUCGGCUCUUUUGGAUUAUUCUUCUUUCCCAUGUUUUGGUAAUCCUUCCCACUUACCCCUGACUAGAUUUCUUUUGGCUUUGUGCUCCAUCUUUGUAGGUCGUCGCCUUGCUUGGAUUGCCGCGUUGGGUGGCCGCGGCUGCUUUCGUUGGCCUGUUGUCCGGGUGUGUACACGUGGUUAUCUGCUGGUGUGGGUUGGUAGUUGUGGCUGUCUCUCUGUCAGGUACCUCUCUUUGCAUGUUUCAUAUCACCGCGCGUUCAUCUCUUCCAUGUAUACAUUAUUCCCUGUGCUAAUCGUUGAAAAUUGUAUGCUUCAACAUUGCCUUCUGGGUUUUUAUUCUUCUUUUGUGUGCAUUGCCUUCUUUUGGCUGUUUCGGCUGUGUACGUGAUGUUCACUCUCUGCCAUUUCCCGCUGCAUUUGCUCCUGUACAUAGGUAAGCUUAAUUUGCCCUUCCCUAUAUGCAUUGCCUUAAUUUUCCUCUGCAUUUGCCGUGUUGUCUUUCUUUGCUCUUGCCUGCAGGCAGUAGUUUUCUUGCCCUCUGCGGUUGCUCUUCUCUACAUAUGGUAUCUUACUUAUUUGCUUGUGUUGCUCCGCAGUUUCUUUGUCCUUUAAUUCUGUUCAAAUUGUGCUAUGAGCUGUUCUAACAUGCGUGCAUGUCUCAGCUGUGAUAUGUUGUUUGCAAUUGAUGUUUCUUUCAGGUUAUUUGCUGGUCUAAGCUGUUGCUGGGACUGUGUGUGAGCUGUUGUUGGGGCUCCUUGUUUGUUAGGUAGUGAUCUCUGCCCAUUUUAUAUCAGCGCCUGUUUAUCUCUUGCUUACAUGGAUUUUAUCUUUGUUAAUGACUGAAUGCUAUGUUCCUAAUGAAAGUGUGCCUUCUGGGUUUUCCCCUGCUUUGGUGUGUGUCCCCUUCUUGCAUUUAUUUAUUUUGUGCCACAUGAUGUUUGUUGUCUGCUAUUUCCCUCUGCAUUUGUUCGAGUUGGUUGCUUCCCACUGCCACUUUUCGUACCUUCCUACCUGCAUGUAAAUAACUUUGUUUGGGUAACGGUUGCCCAGCUUCUUAAAUGCCAAUGUGUGUUUAAUAUCACAUUUAAUUACCAUGUUUUCCAUCUACUCCACUGCAGAAUCUACUAGCUUGAAGCUUCUAUUAUCCUAUUUCAAAAAUUGAACGAGUACGGAGAAAGUAGCGGAGGGGAUGUUAAUCCCUAGAACAUAAUUUCUUUCCUUUCUUGUUGUUUGUCUCCAGUGGAUGCAUGUCAGGUAACUCCACUGCAGAAUCUACUAGCAUGCUACUAAAGCUUCUAUUAUCCCUAGAAUGAGCAUAUUUGCAUGAGAACAAAUAAGAAGCCAUCAAAUGAGGAUGAGUAUCUCCAUGGAAUAGCUAGAAGAUAUAGAUAUGACAUUGUAUCUAUUACAUCUACGAGUGAGGUAGUGGAUCCCGAUAAAUUGCUACAUUUUGCCGAAUUUGAUUUACAUGGUGGAUAUUUGCAAGUUCUCUUCAGCAGUAAUCUUGCACACUAAUCCUGAUACCUGCUUUGCAUCUCUCCAGCAUGCAUAUGAGUUUACUGUAGAAAAUAUGCAUGUUCAUGUACGGUUCGAGCUGUUAAACAGCUGACCGGGCCUGUUCCACUUUAAACUGGACUAUCUAUACAUGGUCCUGUAUAAAUUAUUAUUCCCUCCUACCCAUAAUAAGUGUUGUGGUUUUAGUUCAAGUUUGACUAAAAAUGAACUAAAACCACGACACUUACUAUAUAUCAAAGGGAGUAUCUAUUACGUUUAAACAUCGGAUUGGCAAUGGAGAAGCAGAACUGUUGGAAUUUAUAUUCUCGAUAAAAUAUAGCUGAUUUUGUUGCAUUGAUCUGUGGAGAGUCGUUGCUGAAGGCAUUUUCCUUUAUUUUGAUUCAUGUGCUAUGUUUUUGUAUACUUCGAUUUUUUAAGUCCUCGAAGUAAAUUUCGCUUCUUUUAUGCAACCCUAGAAGCCUGAAAAAUACUCAGUUCUUAUAUUCACAACCUGGUUAAUGUGGUUUUCCAAGUCUUUAAUAAUACGUUCCAUGUUUUAUUUUCCUUUGUAUGUAAAUACUAUUUACUUGCUUGAGGUACAGUUUUAGAUCGUCGACACUUAAUCCAUCUUGGUCAUAUCAGGAUAGAGUGUCGCAGCUUCUCUCCAGUGGAGAGCUUCUCUGUGCCAGACCUGGCUGGGCAUAGGUUGACAGGUUUUGUAGCCAGCUUCAGAUUGGUCUGACUUGUGCCAAUGGAUGAGGUAUGGAAAUAGUAUUCUUAUUUUUCCAAGCUGGUAUAUUGAUUUCAUUCAUCCUACUUCUGAAUAAACAUGAGAAGUUGAUCCAAGAAGCAGAUGUUAUUUGGUAUGCUCAUGUUCAUUUAUCAUGUUGUUAAGGCCUAACAUUACGAAACUAUGCUACAUAUGAGGGUAAGUAAAUCAGGUCUUGCUAUAUCUGAAUAUGCUAUGGAAUAAAGAAAUUAUAAUAACUUUUUUGAUGGCACGCUGUUAGUUCUGAAUGAUCAAUUUUGAAGCGUCUCAUGAGUUAUAGCAUGGAAAAAACCGUGACCAAUACUCCUGAAACACUUCAACAAGGGGAUGGUCAGCUCCUACUUUUUAAAAUGAGAUGUUGGUUAGGAUACAAACGAAUCAUUUUAUGUUUCUCUUUUUUCUGAUUAAUAUGACUAACUUUUUCCUUAUAUGUGGAUACAAAUAUUUGUGCAAAAUCUGUGGCGGCUGAUAUUCUUGGUAGUUUGCUAUAUCCUAGGUACCAUGCAAUACUAAUCUGUGUAUGUUAUUUUGGGAAGAAAAUUAAUUGGGAACUUUCAGAUAAUUCUGCUUCAAACAUAUGCUAUCUUUCUUAUGUUUGAUUUUUCAUAUUCUUUCGCUUAACUUCUCUGGUUAUUUUUAGGCAACCUCGGUCAGUAGAGAUUGUUCUAGAACUGAUAAUAUUUGUAUUUUAGGCCUAAGAUAUCUGUUUAUGGAUAACACAUUUAUUCAGUGUAAAACUACUCUUCCUAUUGUCAGGUCCCAUAACUCUUGUUUUUGAUGCAGUAUUAAAGAAUCUUAUAUGACAAGGAUAUACUGAAUAGUUUCCACUUGCCACUUGUGAUCAAACGGAAAAAAUGAUGGGCAGUUUUACUGCUAUUGUUGAACGAAAAGUUUGUUGCAACAUAUUGUCUUGGUUGUUUCUAAAUAGCACGCUUUGUUUUCUUAAAUUGGUCUACUUUACUUAACGAUGCUUAUAAGAUGACAAAAUUACUAUGUAAAUAGCAUUGGUAAGCUGACAUUUUUGACAAGAGAAAACAUCCAGGUAUGUCAUGGGUUAUAUCAGAACUUAAUUUAUACAUAACUCUUAACAACAAUUCUAUUGCGUCUCUUUUUUAGCUAAAUGAUCAUGCGGGCAUUUUCUAUCUAUUUAAUCAGACUGCAUAAUUAAACUAUUUUGGUUGUUCUCUGAAAUAUCAUUUCCAUGCUUUACGCAACUAUUGCUUCACUAUGCCCCUAUUUAUUUAAUCAUUUCAUUGCCUAUAAUUAAUUUUUCUCUCUCCCUCGAUUUCAUACUUCUAACAGCAGCAAUUCAAAAUGAGAGAAACUUUACAUUUCUGAAACUAGAAAAUUCUGUUUUCAAUGGUGUUUCGUGACCAUUUACUUUGUUGUCUCUUCGUGCUCCAAUAGACUAAGAAAUAUUCGUUUAUUUCUUUUCAGUUUAUGCUAUGCAUCUUUCCCAGAUAGGCUACCAAUAUAUUUAUAUAUCUGAACGUUGAAAUGUUAGGGAAACAGGUUUGUCAGUGGUGCUCAUUUGGCAGCCCCAAAAUUCAGUCCGAUGGAGGUAAGCAGGGCGCCAUAUUGAACAAUCAUGCUCAAAUGAACAUUUGUCCUUGAUGUGGGAGUGCGGUGUCGCAUAAUAUUGUGCCUUACUGCAUAAAAAGGAAUAUUUGGUGUUGGUGAUUGUGUGGAACAUUUGGGUAGAUGAACCAGAUAGAAACUUUGUGUUAAAGUUUAUAUUAUAAUUCCCCUCUUGUUUGGUGGUUAUUGGUCUUUGAUGUGUAAGUGUGGUGUUGCAUAAUAUUAUGUAUUACUCCCUAAAAAUGAAUAUUUGGUGGCGGUGAUUGUGCGAAACUUUUUGGUAGAUGACCAAGAUAGAAACUUCCUGUUAAAUUUAUAUUAAAUUCUCCUCCAAUUUGUUGGAUAUUUCGAUAUGGCCUAGACUGAAAAAGCUAUCAGUAUUUGCUUGUGUCGGCCUCUUCUGACCAUGCACAUGCUUCGCAAAUGUAGCCAUUACCACCGAUGUCUUCUCUUUAACUGUUGUUGAUUCCUGUUUUCCUAGAACAUUCACUUUUGGUGAUGCAGGUUUCAAGUAGGUGUUUGUUUCCUGUUGACUGCGUGUCGUGGCCUAUGACCGUGUUCCUUUUGUUGUUGGCAUGUAGAUAUGAACAAAGUGUUCGUUGCGUUGAUGCUCGUGGGUAGCUUAUGUGUGUGCUUUGUUCAGAAAAUAGACAUUUGUAAAUUCCUUGUUAAGGCACGAAUGGGUUGUAUCUAUACAAAUUGUUAUGCACUUUUGUAAUAUACUUGUUGUUGAUUAUUACCUUUUCAGUUCACAGUUAUGUCGUUUUUGUGUUAUCUCCACCACUCAAAUAAAUUGGACUGAUUUGUGUGUAUUUAAUUCAUGUUAGUUGCGAUUCACUUGAUGCUUGCUUAAAAUCAUUCUUUUAUAAAUGCUUAAUGUAGAGUUUUAUAAAAUGAUUAGCUAUAAGAUUAAGCUUGAUGUAGCAAAUCUGUUGUAUAGUGC